GACGAACGCUGGCGGCGUGCUUAACACAUGCAAGUCGAACGGGCAAGCUCGGACUUGCUUGGUUGGAUCAUGGGCGAACGGGGGAGUAGCACGUGUGCAACCUGCCCCUGACAGUGUAAUAAGAGCUAGUAACGGCUACGCAUACUGGGGACAAGAAUUGUCCCCGAGGGCACUUUCUGGGAAGUAUGUGGGUGGGGGAUGGGCUCGCGGCCUAUCAGCUUGUUUGUGAGGUAAGGUCUCACCGGGCCAACGACGGGUAGGCGGCCUGAGAGGGCGACCGGCUACGCUGCGCCUGAGACACGGCCCAGCCUCGUAUGGGACGCAGCGGUGGGGAGUGUUGCACAGUAGGCGAGAGCCUGGUGUAGAGACGCCGCGUGAGGGAUGACGGCAUUCGCGUUGUAAACCAAUUUCCGCAGGGCAGAAGCGAAAGUGACGGUACCUGAAGAAGAAGCCCCGGCUAACUACGUG
rnacentral:rRNA from 1 species